GCUGGGCGCGGUGGCUCACGCCUGUAAUCCCAGCACUUUGGGAGGCUGAGGUGGGCGGAUCACCUGAGGUCAGGAGUUCGAGACCAGCCUGACCAACAUGGUGAAACCCCGUCUCUA
rnacentral:SRP_RNA from 1 species